GACGUAGGGUGCGAGCGUUGUCCGGAUUUAUUGGGCGUAAAGAGCUCGUAGGCGGCUCGUCGCGUCGUCCGUGAAAACCCGCGGCUUAACCGCGGGCUUGCGGUUGAUACGGGCGGGCUAGAGUUCGGUAGGGGAGACUGGAAUUCCUGGUGUAGCGGUGAAAUGCGCAGAUAUCAGGAGGAACACCGGUGGCGAAGGCGGGUCUCUGGGUCGGUACUGACGCUGAGGAGCGAAAGCGUGGGGAGCGAACAGG
rnacentral:rRNA from 1 species